GCCCAGAUGGCGGAGUGGUUAACGCGCUGGAUUGCUAAUCCAGUUUCCUCACGGAUGCGAAGGUUCGAAUCCUUCUCUGGGCG
rnacentral:tRNA from 1 species